GACGAACGCUGGCGGCGUGCUUAACACAUGCAAGUCGAGCGGUAAGGCCCUUUCGGGGGUACGACGAGCGGCGAACGGGUGAGUAACACGUGGGUGACCUGCCCUCAGCUCUGGGAUAAGCCUGGGAAACCGGGGUCUAGUACUGGAUAUGACUCCAUGACGCAUGUUGUGGGGUGGAAAGCCUUGUGCGGCUGAGGAUGGGCCCGCGGCCUAUCAGCUUGUUU
rnacentral:rRNA from 1 species